GGUGCUUUGUUUGUUAGUGGGACCUAGGUCCUCACAGCAUGGGAAGCAACUCUCUUCUUCCCUCCCGGUGCAACAAAUACACCAAGGUUUACUCGGUGACAGGCAUAAAGCACAUUCCACUUCAGGCACUUUCUCAAAACCAAUUUUACCUCCUGGGAAUUCUUCAAAUGUUUCCUUGGGUGAUAUUCCUAAUCCUCAGAAGAAUGCAACUGGCGUUCCAGCAACUGUAUUAUCUUCUUCUUCUGGGUUUCUACAUUCUUCCAGGGCAAUUACUUCGAGCAUGCAACAUUCAUCUACUACAGGGUUUGGUUCUGCUUUGAACAUUGAAACACUUGUUGUAACAGCUGAGAGAAGGGAUACUUCCAUAGAGGAAUUCUCACCGGAUGGACGAUUCAUUAUUAGUACUGAUCGGGAUUUUAAAAUUCGUGUAAUUGACGAUUCUUACCCAUUGAAACAAAUAAAUUAUUAAAUAUUAAAUUCCAUUUCAAUUUGUUUUCAACAAUGUUAUUUUGUGAUAGGUUUCCCUGUUUCCAAAGAAGCCUUUAGAUGGAGCUCAUGAGAUACAGAGCUUUUGCCUUGGUCAUUCUAAGUUUGCUCAAGCUCUCUCUACUGAACAUGGAAGGUUGCCCUGUUACUGCAGCAUGCUUGGACUCUCUUGCAGGUAUGUAGACCAAUGAAGACUAACAGUGAACUCUCUCAUCAAUUUGAAUCAAUUUGAAUUUAACUCAUCCAAACUUGAAAUUUAUGUUACAGGCAUGAGUAGAUUUUUGAAAUGCAAUCUAGUAAAGUUCAAUAGUCUCUUACUUUGGUGAUAUCUUGAGUUGGGGAUAAUUUUCUUGGUAGUAAUUUGCCAUCUCUUGUAUAGUUGGAUCAAUCAUUAUAGCUCAACACUUCUUUCUCGGUUAAUGUCUUUGUUAAAACAUGAUU